rnacentral:rRNA from 1 species
UGGGGAAUAUUGGACAAUGGGCGCAAGCCUGAUCCAGCAAUGCCGCGUGAGUGAAGAAGGCCUUAGGGUUGUAAAGCUCUUUCGCCUGCGACGAUGAUGACGGUAGCAGGAGAAGAAGCCCCGGCUAAUUCCGUGCCAGCAGCCGCGGUAAUACGGAAGGGGCUAGCGUUGUUCGGAAUCACUGGGCGUAAAGCGCGCGUAGGCGGCCGGUCAAGUGCGGCGUGAAAGUCCUGGGCUCAACCUGGGGACGGCGCUGCGGACUGUUCGGCUGGAGUCCGGAAGAGGGUGGUGGAAUUCCGAGUGUAGAGGUGAAAUUCGUAGAUAUUCGGAGGAACACCGGUGGCGAAGGCGGCCACCUGGUCCGGUACUGACGCUGAAGCGCGAAAGCGUGGGGAGCAAACA